rnacentral:rRNA from 1 species
GAUGAACGCUGGCGGCGUGCCUAAUACAUGCAAGUCGAGCGAACAGACGAGGAGCUUGCUCCUCUGACGUUAGCGGCGGACGGGUGAGUAACACGUGGAUAACCUACCUAUAAGACUGGGAUAACUUCGGGAAACCGGAGCUAAUACCGGAUAAUAUAUUGAACCGCAUGGUUGAAUAGUGAAAGACGGUUGUGCUGGAACGUAUAGAUGGAUCCGCGCCGCAUUAGCUAGUUGGUAAGGUAACGGCUUACCAAGGCAACGAUGCGUAGCCGACCUGAGAGGGUGAUCGCCCACACUGGAACUGAGACACGGUCCAGACUCCUACGGGAGGCAGCAGUAGGGAAUCUUCCGCAAAGGGCGAAAGCCUGACGGAGCAACGCCGCGUGAGUGAUGAAGGUCUUCGGAUCGUAAAACUCUGUUAUUAGGGAAGAACAAAUGUGUAAGUAACUAUGCACGUCUUGACGGUACCUAAUCAGAAAGCCACGGCUAACUACGUG